rnacentral:lncRNA from 1 species
AUUGAAAUGGUUGAUGUAGGCCCGAAUGGACUCCCCCUCCCUCUGCUUGAUGUUGAUGAGGGACUCCGAACCCUUCCGGGGAUGCCGGCUGCUAACAAAAUGAGCCACAAACUGGUGGCUCAUCUGAUCAAAGGAAAAAAUGGUACUCGGCUUCAGCGCCGAGUACCAGUUUCUCAUUGCACCCUUCAAGGUGGAUGGGAAGGCUCGGCACAGGAUGGCGUCAGGUGCACCAUGAAGCAGCAUCA